CGGAAUUACUGGGCGUAAAGAGCUCGUAGGUGGUUUGUCGCGUCGUUUGUGUAAGCCCGCAGCUUAACUGCGGGACUGCAGGCGAUACGGGCAUAACUUGAGUGCUGUAGGGGAGACUGGAAUUCCUGGUGUAGCGGUGGAAUGCGCAGAUAUCAGGAGGAACACCGAUGGCGAAGGCAGGUCUCUGGGCAGUAACUGACGCUGAGGAGCGAAAGCAUGGGUAGCGAACAGGAUUAGAUACCCUGGUAGUCCAUGCCGUAAACGGUGGGCGCUAGGUGUGAGUCCCUUCCACGGGGUUCGUGCCGUAGCUAACGCAUUAAGCGCCCCGCCUGGGGAGUACGGCCGCAAGGCUAAAACUCAAAGGAAUUGACGGGGGCCCGCACAAGCGGCGGAGCAUGUGGAUUAAUUCGAUGCAACGCGAAGAACCUUACCUGGGCUUGACAUACACCGGACCGGGCCAGAGAUGGUCUUUCCCUUUGUGGUUGGUGUACAGGUGGUGCAUGGUUGUCGUCAGCUCGUGUCGUGAGAUGUUGGGUUAAGUCCCGCAACGAGCGCAACCCUUGUCUUAUGUUGCCAGCACGUUAUGGUGGGGACUCGUGAGAGACUGCCGGGGUUAACUCGGAGGAAGGUGGGGAUGACGUCAAAUCAUCAUGCCCCUUAUGUCCAGGGCUUCACACAUGCUACAAUGGUCGGUACAACGCGUCUGCGAGCCUGUGAGGGUGAGCUAAUCGCUGUAAAGCCGGUCGUAGUUCGGAUUGGGGUCUGCAAC
rnacentral:rRNA from 1 species